rnacentral:rRNA from 1 species
UGCAGUCGAACGGUAGAGGAGCAUCCUCGAGAGUGGCGAACGGGUGAGUAAUACAUCGGAACGUGCCCAGUCGUGGGGGAUAACGUAGCGAAAGCUACGCUAAUACCGCAUACGACCCGAGGGUGAAAGCGGGGGACUCGCAAGAGCCUCGCGCGAUUGGAGCGGCCGAUGGCAGAUUAGGUAGUUGGUGGGGUAAAGGCCCACCAAGCCUGCGAUCUGUAGCUGGUCUGAGAGGACGACCAGCCACACUGGGACUGAGACACGGCCCAGACUCCUACGGGAGGCAGCAGUGGGGAAUUUUGGACAAUGGGCGAAAGCCUGAUCCAGCCAUACCGCGUGCGGGAAGAAGGCCUUCGGGUUGUAAACCGCUUUUGUCAGGGAAGAAAUACUUCGGGCUAAUACCCUGGGGUGAUGACGGUACCUGAAGAAUAAGCACCGGCUAACUACGUGCUAGCAGCCGCGGUAAUACGUAGGGUGCAAGCGUUAAUCGGAAUUACUGGGCGUAAAGCGUGCGCAGGCGGUUCUAUAAGACAGAUGUGAAAUCCCCGGGCUCAACCUGGGAACUGCAUUUGUGACUGUAGAGCUAGAGUACGGUAGAGGGGGAUGGAAUUCCGCGUGUAGCAGUGAAAUGCGUAGAUAUGCGGAGGAACACCGAUGGCGAAGGCAAUCCCCUGGACCUGUACUGACGCUCAUGCACGAAAGCGUGAGGAGCAAACAGGAUUAGAUACCCUGGUAGUC